rnacentral:rRNA from 1 species
UACGUAGGGGGCUAGCGUUGUCCGGAAUCAUUGGGCGUAAAGCGCGUGUAGGCGGUCCGGUAAGUCCGCUGUGAAAGUCGAGGGCUCAACCCUCGAAUGCCGGUGGAUACUGCCGGGCUAGAGUCCGGAAGAGGCGAGUGGAAUUCCUGGUGUAGCGGUGGAAUGCGCAGAUAUCAGGAGGAACACCAAUAGCGAAGGCAGCUCGCUGGGACGGUACUGACGCUAAGGCGCGAAAGCGUGGGGAGCGAACAGG